rnacentral:rRNA from 1 species
AGAGUUUGAUCAUGGCUCAGAACGAACGCUGGCGGCAGGCUUAACACAUGCAAGUCGAGCGCCCCGCAAGGGGAGCGGCAGACGGGUGAGUAACGCGUGGGAAUCUACCGUGCCCUAAGGAAUAGCUCCGGGAAACUGGAAUUAAUACCUUAUACGCCCUUCGGGGGAAAGAUUUAUCGGGGUAUGAUGAGCCCGCGUUGGAUUAGCUAGUUGGUGGGGUAAAGGCCUACCAAGGCGACGAUCCAUAGCUGGUCUGAGAGGAUGAUCAGCCACAUUGGGACUGAGACACAGCCCAAACUCCUACGGGAGGCAGCAGUGGGGAAUAUUGGACAAUGGGCGCAAGCCUGAUCCAGCCAUGCCGCGUGAGUGAUGAAGGCCCUAGGGUUGUAAAGCUCUUUCACCGGUGAAGAUAAUGACGGUAACCGGAGAAGAAGCCCCGGCUAACUUCGUGCCAGCAGCCGCGGUAAUACGAAGGGGGCUAGCGUUGUUCGGAAUUACUGGGCGUAAAGCGCACGUAGGCGGAUAUUUAAGUCAGGGGUGAAAUCCCAGAGCUCAACUCUGGAACUGCCUUUGAUACUGGGUAUCUCGAGUAUGGAAGAGGUGAGUGGAAUUCCGAGUGUAGAGGUGAAAUUCGUAGAUAUUCGGAGGAACACCAGUGGCGAAGGCGGCUCACUGGUCCAUUACUGACGCUGAGGUGCGAAAGCGUGGGGAGCAAACAGGAUUAGAUACCCUAGUAGUCC